UCGACUUGUCGCUGGAUGACAUUAUCAAGCGCCACAAGAAAGACCAGAUGGACACCCAGGCCGUCGGGACCCAGCGAAGGCAGCAGCUCCGGAACAGGAACGCAUAUGGAUACGGGAGGCCAUGGCUCCGUGCCCGGGUGCAGCGCAGUCUGCAAGGACCCAAUCGAUUAAGAAGAGGAUUUGGACAACAGCAAUACAACAGGCAGCAGCGGAGGGGCACCAUACCUGGCCCAAGGAGAAGAACAGCCGUGACGUUAAACAGAGUGAGCCCCUUAAACCGCCAGAUUUCUACUCAAGAGGGCAACCAGAGUGAAGAAGGGUUCAGCAAAAGUGGUGACAGCGGACAGACCGGAGCACAGACCAGGCCCCUCCAGCACCCUCGGAGAUUCAGGACCCUGGGUGCCGCGGUCCAAGGCCCAGCGAGAAGCGGCCAGUCUUUCACCCUAAACAGGAGGCCGGCCUUCCAGCAGAAGCAGAUACAGCAGAGGCGAUCCAAGCCCGGCUUUUACAGAGGGCAAAACGAAGCCAGCAUAGCCAGGAAACCACCGUGGAUGAGAAGGUGGCAGCUGGCACCCAACCCUGGAGCAGUGCUGACCGUCUCCGUGGCAAAUCCUCACGCAGGCCAAGGCAACGUCCCCUUCUCCAGGCCGGGAGCCAACCGUCCGUUCCUGAGAGGCAGGAGACCCCCCUUCCCCAGGCCGACCAAGCCCCAGCCCAAAGGAGUGAUGCUGAGGUUCAACUUCCGCGCCAUGGCAAACCAGACCGGCCUGACUCUGGACGAGCGGUUCUCCGGGCUGAGGAACAAGUGGCGUUUCAUGGCAGCCAGGAACGCGGGACGGAUGGUCACCAUGCCCUGAUGCCACAUGCUGCCCGCGGGGCCGGCGGCCUGACUCGGCCCAGCCCGGCCAACCCGCAGCCCAAUAAACGUGAUAGCUUUCCUGACA
rnacentral:lncRNA from 1 species